rnacentral:rRNA from 1 species
UACGGAGGGUGCGAGCGUUUGUCCGGAAUCAUUGGGCGUAAAGGGCGCGUAGGUGGCCCCUCAAGCGUGCGGUGAAAGUCAGGGGCUCAACCCCGAGUCGGCCGUGCGAACUGCUGGGCUGGAGCACUGUAGAGGCAGGCGGAAUUCCGGGUGUAGCGGUGGAAUGCGUAGGAGAUCCGGAAGAACACCGGUGGCGAAGGCGGACCUG